UACGUAGGGGGCGAGCGUUGUCCGAAGUUACUGGGCGUAAAGCGCGCGUAGGCGGUCAUUUAAGUUCGGGGUGAAAGGUUCAACGCUCAACGUGAACAGUGCCUUGAAUACUGGGUGACUUGAGUUCGGGAGAGGGCAGUGGAAUUCCUGGUGUAGCGGUGAAAUGCGUAGAUAUCUGGAGGAAUACCGGUGGCGAAGGCGGCAUCCUGGACCGAGAUUGACACUGAUGAGCGAAAGCUAGGGAGCAAACGGG
rnacentral:rRNA from 1 species